rnacentral:misc_RNA from 1 species
GAUGAAGAACGUAGCGAAAUGCGAUAAGUAGUGUGAAUUGCAGAAUUCAGUGAAUCAUCGAAUCUUUGAACGCACAUUGCGCCCUUUGGUAUUCCUUAGGGCAUGCCUGUUCGAGCGUCAUUUAAACCUUCGAGCUCAGCUUGGUGUUGGGUGACUGUCCGCUUCACCGCGGACUCGCCUCAAAAUUAUUGGCGGCCGGUACAUUGGCUUCGAGCGCAGCAGAAACGCGAACUCGGGCCCGUCGUAUUGGCUCCCAGAAGCUAUCUUCACAAUUUUGACCUCGGAUCAGGUAGGGAUACCCGCUGAACUUAAGCAUAUCAAUAAGCGGAGGA